rnacentral:tRNA from 1 species
GAAAAAUUAGUUAAAACAUAACAUUAUCUUGUCAAGAUAAAAUUAUCCAUUAGAUAUAUUUCU